GCACCCUCCUCAACUCGAGGCGGCGGGUGUUAGCUGGUGAGCUAGCCGAGGGGGGACUCUAACCAGCCGGGGAGCGGGGUGAGAGGCAGAGGAAACAGAGCCUGCUGUCGGGGACAGCGACACUGAAGGAGACAACGAUCCACCUGCAUGGGUAAUGAACGUGUGGUCAGUAAUGUUGGAUGAGACACAUAACAGAGAGAUGCGGGAAGUGGCCUGGGGAGUGUCACAGGACCAGUUAGAGGACACAAACAACCAUACACCUCCUCAUGAUGUCCCUGCUCGAGAAUGGUCUCUGUUGGUAAACUGGACUGGAUUUCACGCGUAGCAGCAUCCAAUUGAACCCCAUGUCGAACUGGCUGCUCCCAUAAACCACCAGCAGCAAAGUGUCCUGCAGUCAGGCCUCAAGUUCCACCAGGCAGAGCCUGACAACCACACACAGUUCAACAAUGUGCCAACAGCGAUGCACACCAGUCACCUGGACGUGAGGCUGGCUCCUGUUGGAUUAUUCAAAGGAAAGAUGAUUUACGGAGCUUCAGGAGACAGAGUUCCUUCUCCAGUGAACGUCCACAACUCAAAAGAGGAAACAUGAGAGCCAGCAGGAUGAUGAGAGGCCUUACAUCCCGAAGCCACCCAAUGCCUUCAUGCUUUUCAUGAAGGAGCAGAGGCCGUAUGUUCUGGCCACCCACAAAUCCCUUGACUCUGCAACUGUCAGCAUGAUCAUUGGAAAGAAGUGGAGGGCGCUGUCAGAAAACAAGCGGGAUAAAUAUUAUAAAGAAGCAAAGAGGCUGAAGCAGCUUCACAUCCAGCUCUACCCGGAUUGGUCAGAAAAGUAAAAAUUAUGGCCAAAUGCGGAAAAGGGUCAGGCAGAGCGGCCCCAGGGACGACUGAAGCAUGUUCCUCACUGCAUGAUGAGUCCAUAGGACACUUCUAACUGAACAGUUUGAGCCCUCCUCCCCUCACUGCACAUAUUCCCCUGAUGACUCGUCUUCUUUUUUUACCUUUUAAUGUCAUAUUGUAUAUCUCUGUGCAUCUUAAUAAAAAAUUAAAUUAU